AGGCUUCGGCAAUGGACGAAAGUCUGACCGAGCGACGCCGCGUGCGGGAUGAAGGGCUUCGGCUUGUAAACCGCUUUUCUCUGGGAAGAAGGCCUGUCUCGUGAAGGCGGGAUUGACGGUACCAGAGGAAUAAGCCCCGGCUAACUCCGUGCCAGCAGCCGCGGUAAGACGGAAGGGGCGAGCGUUGUUCGGAAUUAUUGGGCGUAAAGGGCUCGUAGGCGGAUUGGUAAGUCUGGCGUGAAAUCUCCACCGCUCAACGGGGAGAGGCCGCUGGAUACUGCUGAUCUGGAGUGCGGCAGAGGACCAUGGAAUUCCAGGUGUAGCGGUGGAAUGCGUAGAUAUCUGGAAGAACACCGGUGGCGAAGGCGGUGGUCUGGGCCGUGACUGACGCUGAGGAGCGAAAGCCAGGGGAGCGAACGGG
rnacentral:rRNA from 1 species